AUCAUUGUACACUUAGAGAUAGCUCCUUAAAAAAAACACCUCAGCUGAACCCCAAAAGGGAAGAGACAGGAUGAACCUGAUGAUUGCACCCUUGAGGAGGACUCUGUUGACGGCCAGGAGGACCCGGAUGCUAUUCCAGAGAACCUACAUGAGAUGGAUAUUAUGGACAUGAAUGUCCUAGAUGGGAAGCUUUUCGAUAUA